GAAAUCCCUCCAUGAGAUACAGCUGUAAGGCAUUUUCUCAAUUAGUGAUCAAUGGGGGAGGGUGCUGCCCAUUGUGGGUGGGGCCAUGCCUGGGCUGGUGGUCCUG
rnacentral:miRNA from 1 species